ensembl:lncRNA
CAGCAGGGGCCCUGGAAACAGCCCCGCCCUGAGCUGGGGGCGGUUGUUUACCACUUAGGAAAAGAACAUCCCCAAACAGUUUCUGGGUGGAAUUUCAGGUCCUGGAGAUUUCUGAGUAGCCAGGCGUCUCCCCAUCGUAUUUUUUUCUUUCCUCCCCUCUCCAGGCCUGCGUUCCCUCUUUGUUGCCAAGCUCAGACGACGCUGCUGAAACCCAGCCCAGAGCCCCGCGAAGCCCGGAAACUUCCAGCUCCGCGACUGUGCGCAAAGUUGGGGUCGCGGGACCGGGGUGACAGCGGCGCCGCGGGGCCGGGUGCGGCGUGCCCCGGGGCCGGCGGCCUCUCGCGGCCUCACUCGGCCCAGCCGCGCCUGGACCUCGGACCGUGCGCAGGCCGGACGUGAACUUGACUCCGGUGGGGACCGCGGGGCACCGGGGAUGACCUGGUACCAUCCUCGGCUAUGGUGACCCCCACCCAAGGUGUGAGCCUGGGAGCGGCCGGCCUCCUCCGCCGGACCAACUCGGUGACGAGCCUGCUGUCGCUGGUGGCCUUCGGUGCGGACCCACUGUGUGCCUGCCAGGCUCUCGGGAACUCCACAUUCGUGUGCUCAGACAGACAUCAGCUUUGGAUGGUAGGUAUAAAUGGCUGCUUCUGAAGAUACAGAAAGGAGGCCUCGAGAGGCCAGGCUUCACAGCCCAGAAGGUCCUCUGUGGCUCUGAUUGGCUCUGGAGCCUCGGCUUCUCCCCUGGGCUGGCACCUCUGCCCCCAGAUGCUGUGUCUUAGAAGCCUGCACUCACCGGCACCCUGCCCACACUGCCUUGCCCUGGGAGCCGUCAGCCUCCCAAGGCCCUCCUGGAGCUGUCUCGGCCACAGUGGGGUGGCAGAGUGGGGCACGCACCCCCGGUCUGUGCAUCUGGGACCCCCCCCCCCGGCGAGGGCGGUGCUGAAAAACGUGGCCCGCAGGCUCGCCUGCCGACCUCUGACCCCUCCUGCCCUGUCUCAGGCCCCUCCGAGGGCUUGAGUCCUGGCACAGUGCCACCUAGGGUGCCCGCAGCACCUCUGCCCACGGUUUGUUAGCACUCGGCGUUUCCAGGAAGGACGUUUCUCCCACACAUGGCCUCUGAGAGGGGCCGGGUGGGCUGCUGCAGGCGCGUGUGCCCAAGGCAGGGCUGAGCCCCCGGGGGUGCUGCGUGCCGUGGGUCUGAGCCCUCAGUUUGGCCGACGGGAGUUCCUGCCGGUGGCUCAGAGCCUCCCGCCCCGGGGCCUGCCCACAGCUGUGUCCAGUCAGGCCCAGCCCUGGUGGGUCGGCCAGCUGUCAGACGAGAGGCUGCAGGCGCCAGAGUGGCCGUCUGUGGCCUGGAAGGCGCAUGGAGGGUCAGCGGCGGGUGCGCACUCUCUGCAGUCUCUGGUCUCUGGGGAAAUCCUAGGAGGGGAGCCCCAUUGCUGCCCGUUUGUCGCAGACGAGGAGAUGGAGGCCCGGGGAGCCCGAGGGGCCUGUCCAGGGUGGCAAGCACAGAGCUGAGGUGGAGCCCUGUGGCCCCGGCCCCCGUGGGUGGACGCAGGAGUGUGCCAGUAUCCAGGGAUGCUCGGGGGCUGGGGGGGGCGGGGAGGGCCUUCCGGCACCCCGCUGGGCCUGGUGCUGGUGCCAGCAGGCUCCGCUGGCCUCCGUGGGCCAGGAGCUUCCAGAGGACAAAACUGCCUCUGGACAGAGGACCUGCCCCCGAGCGACCCCUCCGUGGGGCAGGGGCUCUGAGAGCCGCGGGCCCCUGUGGGAUUCCAGGGCUGAGAGGGAGAGCCUGAGUGCGAGCCAGCCUGGGGUUUGGGACUUUUCCUCCUGUUGCCCGUGAUGUCACAGCCCUGCAAGGGGGACGGGCUGUCCCGUAUCGUGGGGGAGGAAGCUGGGCCGGAGAGGGGCAGUCCUGUGCCUGGAGUCACACAGAGUGAAGAGGCGGUGGGUCUGACUGACUCUCCUGCCUUCCCAGUCCCCGCACAAAACAGGGGCUUGUGUCCCCAAGGGGCCUCAGCUUGCGGUUCACUCGUGACCCCGAGACAGGCUGAGGCCCCUGGCCACCCUUCUAGCUCAGCAUGUGGGCCGGCCCAUCAGGAGAGGCUCAGGCCCUCCCCGGGGCCACUCUGCACUCCCAGGACAGCCUUAAAGGCUCCGAGGGCAGGUGACAUGCCGUGGGUGUAACCCAGGAACACAGGACUGUGAGGCGCAGAGGGUGAGGAUUGCUGCCCGAGGGAGGUGGCUCUGCCUGGCACCUCUGUGUGCAGAGCGCCGGGCCGGGGAGCCCGGCGGUCAGCCAGCCUGGUGGUUCCGUGGGCGAUGCUGGGCGGGUGGGUGAAAGGAUUCAGGGGUGCUGAGUGCCCAGAGGGAGGGCCGCCUGUAAAUGCUGCUGUGAAGGGCGCCCUGGCGCCAGAAAAGUCCAGCGGGUGGCUGUCCCUGUGAGCUUUCUGGCUGUGGCCGCAUGCCACUCCUGCGACGCUCAGCCAUCCAGCCAGGGUCCCUGGGCCGUCCCCGGGCCUGCAGCGGGAGCUCCCAAGCUCUCGGGUGGAAACGGCAGCCCCAGGUGUGCGCCUCUGGCUGGUUCUCCCCUGCUGAAGGCGGCCUUGUGCCCUUUCACUUCCCAGCUCCUGUGCCCUGGAGGUCCAACUUCUGAUGCCAACAUCCACAGAGAAAUACUGACCUGGGCUGUCUGCAAAAACCGGGGUCUCGGCCGCUGGGCCGAGGGCAUUCACUGUGGCCCACGGUGGAGCCCUCUGGCUGCGGCCGGGCCACAUUCGCUGUCCAGAGGGAAGACUGGGUGUGUUGCUGUCAGCGCCCCGAGUUGGUGGAGGGUCCUCGACCCGUGGGGGCCCGGAGCUGCUGCCCCGUUGCUCCAGGGAGGGCGUUGGGGCCCCCCGAGCCCAGGGGCCACACGGGGGGGCUGUCACGUGGACCUCCUCACUGGGCAGCGGGGGUUCGCUCAGCCCACCCUGCUGGGGGGUGGGCAGGAGGGCCGUCCCUUCUGGAGGCGGGGUAGGUGCUCCCCGCUCCCAUAAAUAGGACCGUAGGGAUGGGCCUGCUGGUCCAGUGGCUCAGACCCCGUGCUCCCCGUGCUGGGAUCCCUGGUCAGGGAGCCAGAUCCCACGUGGCCGCUGCUAAAGACGCUGCACGCUGCAGCGAAGGUGGCAGACCCCGCGGACCACACCCUGGCCCAGCCACACACGUGUUGAAACCAACAGGACGGUGGUGGGCUCGAGGCUGGCAGCCCACGCAGGCGGCAGCGGCCAGGCCUGGGCUGACCGCCCGGCCCCGCGCUUCUCUCGGAAUCUGCUCGGGGCUCCGGGGCACAGACCUUGGCGCCCCAUCCCACAGUCGGGGAGAGGGUUCCGUGAGAGCCUGGGCAGCGAGCGAGCAGGAGUCAGGACGAGAGCCAGUGCUGUGCGAUGCGGGGUCCUGCACCCGUGCCACAUGUAGGUCGCAGGCGGUGGGCUCCCAGGGCCCUACCUCUGUCUCCAGAGAGGGGGUGACCUUGGCACAGCCUCUGAGGCAUCGUAAGGCCUGGGCACAUCCCAGGGAAGCCGCCACCAGGUCCCCUGUGGACCCUGAGGGCCUUACACGUCCCACACGUGUCCCGCGACAGUCAGAGUCAGAGGCACUGCUGCAGAGGAGGGCGCCGAGCUGCUCCAUGCCCCGGACCCACACGGCUCCCACCUGUCCACAAGGAGCACGGCCCCAGCCCUCAGGCGACAGGCGCUCCCGAGAGGACCGGGUCUGUGGGAGCCGCACCCUUGCGCCUGGGCGCAGGGAGGCCCCGGUGUGCUCCUGGGGACGGGGCGCCCCAACCCACCAUCGUCCCGGCCACAGCCUCCCACUGGGCCUGGCUCAGAGACUCCAGAAGGAGAGCCCUGGGCGUCUGUCCCCGGCCUGGCCCGAGGCUCACGGCCCAGCAGAACGCCCAGUCGUGGCGGGUGGGACUGCGUCUGGGUUUGCCUUUUUGUCGGCACAGAGGAUGUGCCGUCCCUGCUCUGGGAGCGCCGUGUGCCUCCUGCGGCCUGAGCCCAGGCUGGGCGGGAGCAGAAGGCUGAGCCUGGGCUGCCGUCGGCCGAGUGCCGGCUUCCGGGUCUCUGCCCGGCCUUCUGGUCCUUGGGGUGCCCUGGACAGUCAUCCUAGGGUGUCCCCGUACUGGCACCUUCGGGAAGGACACAAAGUCACAACUGCACCGUCUCUUCCCAGGUAGCAGGCGUGGUUCUGAGGGUGGUGGUGUCCAGUUGCUAAGAUUCUCUGUGACCCCACAGACUGCAGCAUACCAGGCCUCCCUGUCCUUCACCAACUCCCGGAGCUUGCUCAAACUCAUAUCCAUAGAGUCGGUGAUGCCCAUCCAACCAUCUCAUCCACUGUUGUCCCCUUCUCCUCCUGCCCUCAGUCUUUCCCAGCAUCAGGGUCUUUUCCAGUGAGUCAGUUCUUCACAUCUGGUGGCCACAGUAUUGGAGCUUCAGCUUCAACAUCAGUCCUUCCAGUGAAUAUUCAGUUGACUUCCUUAGGAUUGACUGGUUGGAUCUCCUCACUGUCCAAGGGACUCUCGAGUCUUCUCCAGCACCACAGUUUGAAAGCAUUAGUUCUUCGGUGCUCAGCCUUCUUUAUGGUCCAGCUCUCACAUGCAUACGUGUACUGGAAAGACCACAGCUGUAACCACACAGACCUCUGUCGGCAGAGUGAUGGCUCCUUAACAUGCUUGUCUAGCUUUGUUGUAGUUUUUCUUCCAGAGAGCAAGCAUCUUUUAAUUUCACGGCUGCCAUCACCAUCUGCAGUGAUUUUGGAGCUCGAGAAAACAGAUUCCGUGGGGGCAUUUGCAGGCCUCCUGGGUGCUGGGCACCAUGCUGGGCGUGAGGGCCACACAGCUGCUAAGAGGUGGUCUCUGCCAGGCUCAGGAGCUGGAGCCUGAGGGGGGACAGGUAGCAAGAGCAUCUGUGAGCUGAUUUCAAGGGACCGCCGCCUAUUGCUGGAGCUGACCCCAUUGCUCCUGACGCAGGUGGCCCCCUGGAGGAGGUGACCUAAAGGAUGGGUAGGAAUUAGGCCUCUGAUGGCAGAACUGGCCCCAGGUGCCAGCUGGUGGGUGCCAAGGCAGGGCCAGAGUGAAGAGGGUGGGGCUCCACGACGUGGCAAACUCACCAGCCGCCUUCCUCUGCAGAUUCUGGAGGAUGUGCGCGGCUGGGCUGCGAGGGAGCCGGUGGGUGGGUUUGCUUCUGAGCGCGAGUCUCAUACCAGGAGGACGACGGGGCAGUCAGACUGACAGGAGAGGUUUCUCGGUGAGGCCCUCUGCCUCUAAGGCCCCCGGUCUCUGGGUGUGGAGGCGCCUCCUCAGCAGUGCGCGGAGGGCCGGGCGACCUGCAGGUGCAGUGUCAGACGGGGUGGAGUGGACGAGGGCAGGGGCAGAGGCCCGCUGAGCCCCUCCGUGCUUGGGCUGUGAGCCGCCAGACCUGUGGGGCUGACUCCUCGCUCACUUUGUUUCUUGUAGAACGUGGCUGAGCACCUCCGGCAAACUGGACGCCUGUCGUGGCCUUCGAAGACGCUCCAGCACCACGUGGCCGGUCCUUGCCCCGUGUCUGGCUGGCAGGGCAGCCCAGGAGGUGAGCGGCCCGGCCGGGAGGGGAACAUGGACUGGUCUCGGGUGACCCCAGCACCAGUCCUUCCUUGCAGGCCGCAGCUGGCAGCCAGCUGGGCCCACCUUGCCCAGACUCCCCAGGGGUGCCCGCCUCACCACCAGGAGCUGGGGAGUAGAGCAGCUGACUGCUGUCUGCUGUGAUCCCGCCAAGCCCCGCACCUGCCCUGUGGGCACAGCCGUGGCCCUGGCCAGAAUCCUCAAAGCAGACAGAAUCAGGGAGGCUGCCUGCCCCCUCCCCCCCGGGGUUGCUGCUGCAGAGGCUCCCCUGAGACCACUCUGCAUUGUCAGUGCCCGCAGCCCCCAGACCCCCUCCCACAAGCUGUCUGGCCCGACAGGCUUCUCUGGAGCCCUGAGUCUCGGUUUACCCUUCUGUAAGACUUGGGCAGGAAUACCUCCUAGCAGAGUUUGGGAGUGCAGAGUGAACCCCAGCGCACCCAUGGCUUCAGCAAGGAGGCUGGGGGUGGAAACCAGUCUUUGCAGGGGUUUAUGAUCCACUGAAGGGCUUCCCUGUGGCUCAGACGGUAAAGAAUCUGCCUGCAAUGCAGGCGACCUGGGUUCGAUCCCUGACUCAGGAAUGUCCCCUGGAAGAGGGCAUGGCAACCCAUUCCAGGAUUCUUGCUUGGAGAAUUCCACGGACAGCGGAGCCUGGUGGGCUACAGUCCAUGGGGUCAUAAACAGUUGGACACAAACUGAGCGACUAACACUUCCACUUUUUCACGAUCCACUGAAAGACCUCCCCAACCGGGCGCCCUGCUGGCCUCGUCUCCGUUUGCUGGAGCAAGAAGAAGGCAUGAGGCAAGGCAGAGCCAUCACUGCCCUGUGCAGAACGGGGACUUGGCCGCAGCCUCAGCUCCAGGCGGCUCAGGGAUUUGUUGGCAGCACCCCUGGGGCAGCCAGCAGUGAUUCGGUGGCCCAGGAACCCUGGCCUGCUGUGGCUACUGACCACAGGCUUUGGGUCAGUUUCGCAGGCUCGAGAAGGGCGUGGAGGUGGCCCUCCGAGUGAGGACUCUGCUGGAGGUGGCUGAGUGGGGAGAGGGGACCUCUCUGAGGCCUCAGAGUCUCAGCGGCUUCAUGCUGGCUGUGGGUCUGUUUACACAUCACCGGAACAGAUGGCCCACCCGCCUGGGGGCACCCCAGGCCCCCGAGGUUCUCCUGGCCCGUGGUGUCCCCCCGAGAGGCUCUGGGUGCCCCUGAGCUGUGCUGGGCGCUGUGGGGUCUUGGGGCGCAGUCGCGGGGAGGGCCGAAGCCAACAGUGCAGACGUAGGGUGCGCGCUUACCCACAGCUGAGCCAGCAUCUCUCUUCUCCCAGGCCUCAUCCCUCAUCCCUCCGCCUGGACGCCUCGGUCCUCAGCUGAUGCCUGGAGCUCGGAUGGCUGUGCCCGCCUCAGGUCAGGGAGCGUGCGAAUGUUGGAACUCAGAGCUCCCCACCCGCUCCGACCGGCGCCACCCUGGACUGGGUAUGUCUGAGGGAACACAGACGUGCAGCACAUGCCCGUGUGUGUUGAGGGGGUGGUCACCGGGCCAGACGGCAAUUCUCGCCACUUGCUCGGGUUCAGCUGGGAGUGCGCUCCCCGCCACCUGCUCUGCCCUCCCACCAGCCUCUUUCUGUGGCCCAGGGUCCAGGGUGAGUACGAGGUCAGGGGCUUGCCGAGGUCUCCCCCAGGCAGCUCGACUCGGGGCGUGUUCCUGGCUGGCCCCGGUAUGUAUGGUGGAUGAAGCCCACUUGGCAAGGAGGCAGCCGCUGUAGGAGGGUCUGGGCUGCGAGCGGGGGACUGGUAACCUCUGGGCAGAGCUCGGGGCUCAUUGCGUCAGGAUGUCCCACCCUGCCCCUCUUGGCCCCGUGCCUUGAGGGAGCUGUCGUGCUCCAAGUUUGCCGGGCCCCCGGCCACACCUUGCCCCUCCCAGGAGCCAGCCUGCACUGCCAACUGUCGGGCCGCCUUGGCUGCUGCCAGCCUCCUAGAGGGUCACGGGGUCCGUGAGGGUCAGGGCCGGACUGUCGGCCUCUCCCUCUGCCCUGCCUGGUGCCAUGGCCCAGGACGGGCCUGCCUCCCAGGUCUGCCUGGAGAGGGCCCGGGACCCCUCUGCCAUCUGGGCCUCGCGUGUUUACAGGCCCAGCCUGCCCGCCAGACUCCGCAGACGCGGCCCCAGGGCUUUUGUGUCUGCACGCAGAGCCUGCACCAGCCGCUGCCUGAGGGCGGGGAGGGGGCGGCCCCCCUGGGGGACAUCAGGGACGGGGGAAAGAGAGACCUGGCGGGAGUGUGACAGCAGAGGAGAGAGCAAAGGGGUGGAGGCAGAGAGCAGGCCAGGCCCGGGGAAGGGCGACGCCAGAGCGAAGGACCGGGGGCCGCCAGGCCGUCCCCGGGGAGACAGGGCCGCGGGCUCCGCUCACGGCUGUCCAGUGCGGCCCUCUCCGGGGCACUCCCUGUGGACUCCCCCCAGCCUCCCAGCGGAGACCCGGCCCUGAGAGCUGGGUCCAACACCUGGGCUGGGGCACCAGUGUGCCCCUGGGACCGACCGCCGGGGCCUGGCAGACACGCAGGAGGCCGUGAGGGCACGUCCCUGAGUGUGUGCGGGGCACACGCCCUGCUUCUGCGCCCCGUCGGCUUUGGCCCACCCCAGCCCAAGACUCCACAAGGCCUGGCCCAGCUCAGGGGCAGCCAGAUCCUCUCGGGGCACCACGGGCCAGGAGAACCUCGAGGAUCUGGAAUUCCCCCGGGGCAGGGGUCGCUGAGGGACCCUUUUUCCAGGCCGUGACCCCAGACACCCAGCAAUCUCAGGCUCAGCACGUACAGCUUCUCAACGUGGCUCUGCCAUGGGGUGCUGGGCCCUCCACACAGGCCUGCGUGUCCUGUGGACCCACAUCCAUGCAAACCCCUAAAGAGCCAGCAGGGCAGCCUCUAUCCACAGGUCCCCAGGGCGCCAGGGAGAACAGGGACAAUUCCCUGCAGAAAACCGGCCACCAGUGGUACUGACUGGGCCCCACGUGGCUCCCGCCCAGCAUGGGUGGAGCACCAGGGUGGGCAUAGGGAAAGAAGCCAGGGCGCUGCCUGGGACCCAGACCUGGACACAGGCCCUGCCUGGCUCUACACGUGCCCGUCUCCAUCAGAGCACAGGCCCGGCUGUGCCCCCAGAUGUGUGGGUAGCGUCUCCCCUGCUGGCUGCAGCGAGGUCCGUGCUGACCCCCUGGACCUGUCUGCCAUCUUUAAAGUGAGACUGGUCUCCAUCCUGGGUUUUCCCUCUGCAGGAGCAGGGAGUGGCAGUGGCCGGACUCGGCGCCCAGAGCAGGGUUGCUGGGCUCUGCCUUACGUCUGGGGUUCUGAAGCAGGCACUGGCUGACCGGGGGAGAGAGACGCUCCUCUCGUCCAGAGGAAGCGGGGAAGGGGCUCCCCAGAAGGGACAUGAGUCAGGCAAGCAGGACAGGAGUCUUGAGGCGCCAGAGGAGGCCGGGGCUGUUGUGGGCGGCUCUGCCCGGGUCAGGCAGGGUCUCAGUGCUGCAGGCCGUCAGGAGAGCUGAGGCUGCACACCCCUGGGGUGCUUCCUGGCAGCUGCCCCUGUGCCCCCUUCCCCCUGCACUGGACAGGCAGGAGGCGCCAGCCUGGACCUCGGUGGGGUGGCUGUGCCGGGUGUCCCUAGGAGGCAGGAGAGCCCCUCAGGCCACUUGGUCAGAGGCGGCCCCAAACCUCAGGCCAGUGAGGACCCAGACCCCGUGAGGCAUCCCUUCCGGGGGCCACCCAAGGGCAGUAGGGCCUCUGGCGGCCGGGUGACCGGGAGCUCCGGCCGGAGGAGGGUCCUGGACGCCGCGGCCCGGCCGCUUCCCGAGUGGACGGCCGCCUCCUGCCGCGGGCGCCCGGCCCUCCGCGCCGCCGCCUUCGUCUUCCCAGAGCCGCACAAGAUGGCCGCCGCCCCCGCCAUUUUGUGACGAGGCCGCGGCCGGCCGGCCCCGCGCGCCUGGCCCGCGCCCAGCCCAGCCC